GAUUGUUUAGAUCCUCAAUUCUAUACAAACUUUUUCCAAUUAAAAAAAUAUAGAUUCAAGAAGCCUAAUACCCUAGGGUGGUUUGGGAAUCUUGGAUACACAAAAUCAAGAUUUGUACAUCCAGAUCUCGCAAGAUAAGUAGCGUUUGGCUCAUUGCAAGCACGAUUGGUCACAUUGAAGCUACGAAGCCCAUUGCUCGUACUUUGGUCAACACUUCGAGCUCUGUUGUCGCUAGUUUUUCUUUAGAGUCGGCAACCUACCUUCCGCCAUUAAAAUCAGAACUUGAGAUAUGUUUUCUGGGCAUUGUGAAAAUCGCUUUCCCCUUGACUUUGUUAUUGUGCUAACAAAAUAACUCUCGGUCAUCAGAAACAAAGGCCAUUGGCUAUGGAAAAUUAAAGCAAAGGCAUUUGGUUAUGUGAUCAUUUGGACACAAUGACUUCAUUUUUAUUUCAAUUUGGUUUUUAUUGAGGAGGACAAAUUAAUCUCAAUAUUGUACUUUCCUUAUAGACUUCAUAUUGUUUCGGCAUUACAGUUGCAUUUCAAUUAAUGGCUAAAUUGUGAAAGAAA